ACCUAAUUUUGUAUAUCUUGAUU
rnacentral:siRNA from 1 species